ACUGGAUGAAAAACAAAGGAGAGGGAUUUCUAAACUGUACUUUCUGUCCUCGAAGACUCAUAAAAAGACAGCUCAUACCUUAGGAACGGUAUGACAGAACAUUUGAGUGGUUUUGAAACCGUGACUUUUUCAAACCGCGGUAUACCUUGAAACCAGUAACCGGCCCAUGC